rnacentral:rRNA from 1 species
UACGUAGGGCGCAAGCGUUGUCCGGAAUUAUUGGGCGUAAAGAGCUCGUAGGCGGUUUGUCGCGUCUGCUGUGAAAACCUAAGGCUCAACCUUGGGCUUGCAGUGGGUACGGGCAGACUAGAGUGCGGUAGGGGUGACUGGAAUUCCAGGUGUAGCGGUGAAAUGCGUAGAUAUCUGGAGGAACACCGGUGGCGAAGGCGGCAUUCUGGACCGAUAUUGACGCUGAGGAGCGAAAGCCAGGGGAGCAAACGGG